UACGUAGGGGGCAAGCGUUGUCCGGAAUCAUUGGGCGUAAAGAGCGUGUAGGCGGCCCGGUAAGUCCGCUGUGAAAGUCCAGGGCUCAACCCUGGGAUGCCGGUGGAUACUGUCGGGCUCGAGUCCGGAAGAGGAGUGUGGAAUUCCUGGUGUAGCGGUGAAAUGCGCAGAUAUCAGGAGGAACACCAAUGGCGAAGGCAGCACUCUGGGACGUGACUGACGCUGAGACGCGAAAGCGUGGGGAGCAAACAGGAUUAGAAACCCU
rnacentral:rRNA from 1 species